rnacentral:rRNA from 1 species
UACGAAGGGGGCUAGCGUUGUUCGGAAUUACUGGGCGUAAAGCGCACGUAGGCGGACUCUUAAGUCGGUGGUGAAAUCCUGGAGCUCAACUCCAGAACUGCCUUCGAUACUGGGAGUCUCGAGUUCGGGAGAGGUGAGUGGAACUGCGAGUGUAGAGGUGAAAUUCGUAGAUAUUCGCAAGAACACCAGUGGCGAAGGCGGCUCACUGGCCCGAUACUGACGCUGAGGUGCGAAAGCGUGGGGAGCAAACAGG